GCUCUUCUGUCUGACUGCAGGAAUCCCACAGCCCCUCAUCUACUAAGGGCUGGCAGGGAGCACAAAUACUUCAAAACUACCAGCAGCCCUUUCUUCUCCUAUGGAACGUACUUGAAGCCUCACCCCCAAACAAUUGUCAGUUGCCAAAUUAAACUAAAUACUGUUGGGCUGGUCAAACAUUUUUAGAUGCCAGGUACUGAAAAACAGAAGGGUGCUUUCAUCAGAAGAAAAGUAGCUCGCAAACAAGUUGCAGGCUGUCUCUUGGACUCCAUGGAAGCCAGCUAGUUCUGGGAGACCCUUAAGUUCACAGAGCACAGAUAAAGGCUAAGGAAGUGCUUGAGAAACCCAGGAUGAAUAAUGCACUUAUCCAAAACCAAGAAUGUUUUUCUAGUAACAGUUUCUCAAUAUUCACUUUUUGUGUUACUUAAAUCAGUCUAAAGGAGUUGCAUAUUUGCAACUAGUCUAGUCUUUGCUAGGCUGUGUAGGGAUGGAGUCAGGAAAGCCAAGGCGCAGCUUGAACUAAACUUGGCAAGGGAUUCCAAGAAGAACAAGGAUGGCUUCUACAGGUACCUCAACAAGAAAAGGAAAGUCCAGGACAGCGUACCCUGACAGUGAGUGACACAGACAAGCUGAUAACAACAGACGAGGAGAAGGCUGAGGUACUUAACAGCUUUUUUGCCUCGGUCUUCUCUGAUAACUGCUCACCACACAGCCUUCAAAUGUCUGGUUUGGUAGGAGAGGAUCCGGGAAGGAACGUCCCUCUCACUGUAAGCAAUAAUCAAGUUUGUUACCACCUGAGGAACAUGAACAUCCACAAGCCUCUGGGUCCCGAAGAGAUGUAUCUCAGAAUCCUGAGGAAAUUGGCUGAUUUAGUUGCCAAGACACUCCUAGUGAUAUUUGAAAAGUCCUGGCAGUCAGGUGAAGUCUCUGGUGACUGGAAAAAAGGCAACAUCACAUCUAUUUUUAAGAAGAGUAAAAAGGAUGACCCCAUGAAUUACUGACCUGUUAGUCUCACCUCUGUGCUGGGGAAGAUCAUGGAGCAGAUCCUCCUGGAAGCUAUUCUUAGCCACAUGGAAAGCAGGGAGAUGAUACAGGAGAAUCAACAUGCCUUCACCAAGGGUCCUUGUGGCCCUCCUCUGAACCUAUUCCAACAGGUCUAUGUCUCUGUUCUGCUGGAGACCCCAGGCCUGGACGCAGCACUUCAGGUGGGACCUCAUGAGAGCAGAGCAGAGGGGGACAAUUACCCCCCUUGCCCUUUUGUUUGCCCCUUUUUUCAGGGGCAUGAGCUGCUGGCUCAUGUCGAACUUUUCAUCCACCAAUUCCCCCAAGUCCUUCAACACAGGGCAAUUCAAAAUAAUUUAUCCUUUUGCCUAGAACAAAGCAAGGAAUCUGAAAAUUGCCCCACUCAGUGUGUUAUUGGGAUUAACGCAGGAUUUGCUGUUAGCUGUUGCUAUCAAGUGAUCGGACUAAGGGCUACAUCCCUGGUGAAUAUUAGAUGUUGAGCUCCUAAAAUGGGCACUCGUUUUGAAUGGUGAUGACCUCUGUGCAAAAGGCAGGAAUCCAUAGAGAGGAGACUGACAAACAUCCUGCUGAGCCAGAUUGUCCUCUGCCUGAGAAAAGUGCCCUUCUCUGGGGACUCCUUGGACAAAACUCC
ensembl:lncRNA